CACAUGGUCCUGAUAAAUUAAUACACCACGCCUCAUUAUUGAAUCACACUAUCACGAGAGCACGUAAGGGGCGAACACUCGGGAAGCUUAUUUAACAAAGUCAUCGCUGGCACUCAAUGUGCUGUCUUUUCCCUGGGUGCCAAGUCACUGCUGAGCAGCCAGAGGCGCCAGAAGCUGCCGUUCUUCUCCAACGACUAGGGUUGUCAGCUCACUGCUGCUCCAGGGGGCAGUGGGGAGGGAUGGGCCCACGAGCCUCUUCCAGACUCUUCCACCACUGAGUCACAUGAGCGAGUAGGGAAUGUUUGCUGGAAUCUGAUGUGGGAUCCACAUUUGUUCCUAAACCGUCUUGGGAAUCCCUUGGAACUUUGGAAACAAAGAUGUCAAAGGAGCUCUUUCUGGGAGGCCUUUCAGAAGACUGGAAACCCUGUGUGAUGCAUUAUCAUGCAAAGUUGAAUGACAGUAAUGGAGACCCUGCUCCUAGGCCCCUGGUUCCUGACAAAUCGUUUCCCGAAGUAGCAAAGUAUUUAUUUUCUUUUAUGAUAGAAAUGUUUCUCUUUAGUUGCUAUGAAAUUAAGCCUUUGUAAUUGGA